rnacentral:rRNA from 1 species
CCUACGGGGGGCUGCAGUGGGGAAUAUUGCACAAUGGGCGCAAGCCUGAUGCAGCCAUGCCGCGUGUAUGAAGAAGGCCUUCGGGUUGUAAAGUACUUUCAGUCGUGAGGAAGGUGUUAAGGUUAAUAAUCUUAGCAAUCGACGUUAGCGACAGAAGAAGCACCGGCUAACUCCGUGCCAGCAGCCGCGGUAAUACGGAGGGUGCGAGCGUCAAUCGGAAUUACUGGGCGUAAAGGGCACGCAGGCGGUUAAUUAAGAUGGAUGUGAAAUCCCCGGGAUUAACCUGGGAAUGGCAUUCAAGACUGGUUAGCUAGAGUCUUGUAGAGGGGGGUAAAAUUCAAUGUGUAGCGGUGAAAUGCGUAGAGAUGUGGAGGGAUACCGAUGGCGAAGGCGGCCCCCUGGACAAAGACUGACGCUCAUGUGCGACAGCGUGGGUAGCAAACAAGAUUAGAUACCCCUGUAGUC